rnacentral:lncRNA from 1 species
GUCUUGAGUCAAUCAGUACAUCUGUACCACAUUCAUGUGGCAAAUGCUGCUUUAUGGAGAUGUUUCUAAUACUGACCUACAAUAAUUCAGCCAAGAUCACGUUUCUACUGUCUUCAGGAAAUGAGAAAAAUGAAUCCAGGAAAUUUCCAUCUUUAACUAUACUCUGUAAAUGUGCUGUCCAAUACACAGAUAGCUACUGAGCACUGGAAUAUAGCUAGUCUGAAUGGAGAUGUUCUGUUUGACUUUUUUGGACUCCACAUGUGUGAGAUCAUGCAAUAUUUGUCUUUCUGUGCCUGGCUUAUUUCACUUAGCGUAAUGUCCUCCAGGCUCAUCCAGGUUGUUGCAAAAGGCAG